rnacentral:rRNA from 1 species
AUACGAAGGGAGCUAGCGUUGUUCGGAAUUACUGGGCGUAAAGCGCACGUAGGCGGACUUGUUAGUCAGGGGUGAAAUCCCGGGGCCCAACCUCGGAACUGCCUUUGAUACUGCAAGUCUGGAGUCCGAAAGAGGUGGGUGGAAUUCCUAGUGUAGAGGUGAAAUUCGUAGAUAUUAGGAAGAACACCGGUGGCGAAGGCGGCCCACUGGUCCGGUACUGACGCUGAGGUGCGAAAGCGUGGGGAGCAAACAGAAGUAGAAACCCCGGUAGUCC